rnacentral:rRNA from 1 species
GACGAACGCUGGCGGCGUGCUUAACACAUGCAAGUCGAGCGGAAAGGCCCUUCGGGGUACUCGAGCGGCGAACGGGUGAGUAACACGUGAGUAACCUGCCCCAGACUUUGGGAUAACCCUCGGAAACGGGGGCUAAUACCGGAUACGACACAGCUUCGCAUGGGGUCUGUGUGGAAAGUUUUUCGGUUUGGGAUGGGCUCGCGGCCUAUCAGCUUGUUGGUGGGGUGAUGGCCUACCAAGGCGACGACGGGUAGCCGGCCUGAGAGGGCGACCGGCCACACUGGGACUGAGACACGGCCCAGACUCCUACGGGAGGCAGCAGUGGGGAAAAUUGCACAAUGGGCGGAAGCCUGAUGCAGCGACGCCGCGUGAGGGAUGACGGCCUUCGGGUUGUAAACCUCUUUCAGCAGGGACGAAGCGUAAGUGACGGUACCUGCAGAAGAAGCGCCGGCCAACUACGUG